CCUACGGGUGGCAGCAGUGAGGAAUAUUGGUCAAUGGACGAGAGUCUGAACCAGCCAAGUAGCGUGAAGGAUGACUGCCCUAUGGGUUGUAAACUUCUUUUAUAUGGGAAUAAAACGUUCCACGUGUGGGAUUUUGUAUGUACCAUAUGAAUAAGGAUCGGCUAACUCCGUGCCAGCAGCCGCGGUAAUACGGAGGAUCCGAGCGUUAUCCGGAUUUAUUGGGUUUAAAGGGAGCGUAGGUGGAUUGUUAAGUCAGUUGUGAAAGUUUGCGGCUCAACCGUAAAAUUGCAGUUGAAACUGGCAGUCUUGAGUACAGUAGAGGUGGGCGGAAUUCGUGGUGUAGCGGUGAAAUGCUUAGAUAUCGCGAAGAACUCCGAUUGCGAAGGCAGUUCACUGGACUGCAACUGACACUGAGGCUCGAAAGUGUGGGUAUCAAACAGGAUUAGAUACCCCAGUAGUC
rnacentral:rRNA from 1 species